rnacentral:lncRNA from 10 species
UACAUAAUUUAUCUUUCCAAACUGGCUCAUGUCCCGACUUUCUGUAAAAUUUACUCAGAAAUCUUUACACUUUGUCCAGGUGAGCAGGUUAUUGUGUGUGUUGGGGGGGUGUCUUUGUCGUGAGUCUAGAGUUGACAAAUUUUACACCUUUCUUAACUUUUAUUUUUUUCUACUUGCUCACUGCAUGACUUGAAAUAGUUUACAGGUCACUGC